UAGUCAUAUGCUUGUCUCAAAAAUUAACCCUUGCAUGUCUAAUUAUAAACUGCUUAUACUGUGAAACUGCAAAGGGCUCAUUAAAUCAUUUAUAGUUUAUUUGAGGGUACCUACUACUCGAAUAACCGUAAUAAUUCUAAAGCUAAUACGUGCGUAAAUCCCGACUUCUGGAAGGAACGUAUUUAUUAAAUUUAAGGCCAACCAAGCUUCUGCUCGUCUCUUGGUGAAUCAUGAUAACUUCACAAAUCGCAUGGCCUUUGCCCCGGCAAUAUUUCAUUCAAAUUUCUGCCCUAUCAAUUGGCGAUGGUAGAAUAAAGGCCUACCAUGGUGUUAACGGGUGACGGAGGAUUAGGGUUCAAUUCCGGAAAGGGACCCUGAAAAACGGCUACCACAUCCAAGGAAGGCAGCAGGCGCGCAAAUUACCCAAUCCUGAUACAGGGAGGUAGUGACAAUAAAUAACAAUACCGGGCUUUUCAAGUCUGGUAAUUGGAAUGAGUACAAUCUAAAUCCCUUAACAAGGAUCCAUUGA
rnacentral:rRNA from 1 species